rnacentral:rRNA from 1 species
UACGAAGGGGGCUAGCGUUGCUCGGAAUUACUGGGCGUAAAGGGCGCGUAGGCGGACAGUUAAGUCAGAGGUGAAAGCCCAGGCUCAACCCUGGAAUUGCCUUUGAUACUGGCUGUCUUGAGUAUGGGAGAGGUGAGUGGAACUCCGAGUGUAGAGGUGAAAUUCGUAGAUAUUCGGAAGAACACCAGUGGCGAAGGCGACUCACUGGCCCAUUACUGACGCUGAGGCGCGAAAGCGUGGGGAGCAAACAGG